GCCUGAUCCAGCCAUGCCGCGUGUGUGAAGAAGGUCUUCGGAUUGUAAAGCACUUUAAGUUGGGAGGAAGGGCAGUAAGUUAAUACCUUGCUGUUUUGACGUUACCGACAGAAUAAGCACCGGCUAACUCUGUGCCAGCAGCCGCGGUAAUACAGAGGGUGCAAGCGUUAAUCGGAAUUACUGGGCGUAAAGCGCGCGUAGGUGGUUCGUUAAGUUGGAUGUGAAAGCCCCGGGCUCAACCUGGGAACUGCAUCCAAAACUGGCGAGCUAGAGUACGGUAGAGGGUGGUGGAAUUUCCUGUGUAGCGGUGAAAUGCGUAGAUAUAGGAAGGAACACCAGUGGCGAAGGCGACCACCUGGACUGAUACUGACACUGAGGUGCGAAAGCGUGGGGAGCAAACAGGAUUAGAUACCUGG
rnacentral:rRNA from 1 species